GGGGUUGUGGCUCAGUGGUAGAGUGCUCACCUAGCAUAUGUGAGGCUCUGGGUUCAAGCCUCAGCAAUACAU
rnacentral:tRNA from 1 species